UACGUAGGUGACCAGCGUUGUCCGGAUUUACUGGGCGUAAAGAGCGCGCAGGCGGUCGUUCAAGUCGAGUGUGAAAGCCCCCGGCUCAACUGGGGAGGGUCACUCGAUACUGAUCGACUUGAAGGCAGGAGAGGGAAGCGGAAUUCCCGGUGUAGUGGUGAAAUGCGUAGAUAUCGGGAGGAACAUCAGUGGCGAAGGCGGCUGCCUGGCCCAAUACUGACCACUCAGGUGCGACAGCGUGGGGAGCAAACAGGG
rnacentral:rRNA from 1 species